AUCAGUGAUUAGUGGACUAUUAAAAAUAAUCGUUUGUGGCACCACUACAAUACAUUAAAUUAGAAAAACAAUAUAAAAUGUGCUGUUCUUAGAGAGACCUUUAGCUGGCCCAGCCAAAUCACAGCAGUGAGUCAUCAAAAAGGAGGCCGUGAACGCUGUGCUGUGCCGCCGCAGAGGAAGAAUUGAAGAGCUGAGCUACGAUGUCCGAGCAGGCUUUGGACUCCAACCCCAGCGGGUUCCUGGUGCUGCACACUUUAGCCAGAGACAACUGAGGAGAGACCCCCCCACACACAUAAAUACCAAGAGAGCAAAAAGAACAACGUCUAAGACUGCCAAGGAAAAUGUUGGCUCCGUACCUGUGCCUCCCAGCAUCCUUUGCCAGCAUAGUCCCUGAGGGUCCGUACACUCUGAAGGUUUGACGGCUACUUCACCCAAAGUGAAUGCCAGGAGGGAGGAAAAAGCCGGGACAACAGUGUGGAAACUGGCAUGCUGUGAGACUGUUAUGAUGCAGCGAUACUGAAGCCGUUUUAAACAUUCCCACAACACAUGCUGUAAUUCUGGCUACAAGAUAGUGAGGCUUUAUGGGCUUUGUGUGGAGGGAAAUGCUACAGCUACUGCUUUAAUGAACAUUAUGCACAGCUAUUCAGUAAUUUUAGCUAAACUACUGGUUUAAUUUUGAUUUCAAACUUAUUUUGACUCAAAAUAGUUAAAUUCCUGUCUAUUUUAACUCCUAUUUCCAUUCAAUAUGUUGGUGAGAUAAAGCUGGAUUGGGAGGUUUAGGAGACUUUAUCUAGUUUUGGCAGAUAUGCAAAGGCCAGGUAUCAGUAUUAAUCUGAUUAAAACCUAAUCAGAAUAAAAAUGCUUCAUGUAAACACGCCAUUCAUAAUACCUGAUUCUACUCAUUUCAAUCAAAAUGUCCUUCUGAUUUAGAUGGGUGGGUUAUGGUGCUCAUUCUGCGCCAUGAAAUCACACAGACUUUACAGCUCUGUGUGAUAGCUCUUGGAAUUAAGAAAUUAUCAUCCUGCCGUCUCUCCCUCUUCAGGAUUUGACAAAACUGCAUGUCAAAACGGUUUAUUCUGAUGAAACGUGUGACGAAUGAAUUACGUUGAUAAUUUUUUUCAUUCAUUUGAACUUACAGCAUCUUUACGACUAUGCAGCCACAGCAGGUAUGAGCUUUGGAGACAGCCAGCCUGUGACGACUCCCCCAGCAUCGAUAUGGCCUCUGAUCUUCUCUCUUCAUCCUAAAAAAAAAAAAAAAAGCCACAAUUUAACCUCUAAACAUUAUGAAAACAGUCAAAAUCAAAAAACAAUUAUUCCAUCUUAGUGGGUUUCUAAUGACUUAACUAACAGCUCCCCAUGACAGGCAACACACAGGCUGACAUAUUCAUUAGAUGCUGACAGAAACAGAACCAACGACACCUCAAACAGUCAGAUUAAACCCAGCUUUCACUCACUUCGAACAGCAGCAGAACUCUGGCCAAACAGUGCAACAGGGGACCCUUCUUCUCCUGCAGAGAAAGAAUCAAUAAUGAAACACGUAGAAAAAAUAAAAAUUCUCCACAAAAAAAUACGUCAAUAAAAGUCAGUCGGUGUAAAUGCUCUAAAUUCGACAGGCUAGUAAUAGUUUCUGCAGACUUCCUGUCAGUCCUUUUGAGUAUUUUCCAGAAGCAGAAAAUAAACACUAAUCGUUAUAAUGUAACUUGCUUAUAAAAAACACACUUUCUACACUCCAUUGACCUCAAAGCACAUCUUUGUUCAUCAAAUGUGGAAGAAAAAUAUAGAAAUUACAGUAAAAUCCGAUGGAGCAAUAUCAGCAGAACAACCUACCAUGUUCGUGUCGCACUCGGCCUUGAGGUGAUCGAACACCACGGCCUUGCAGCAGCUGCCGGUGGGCGACCACGGCGGACGGAUGAAAACCCAAGUGAAGGGGUUGGCUUUGGGAGAGCGCACGCUUUCCGCCAAGCUGAAAAAGUGGGAAGCCUUUCGACCACAGACGUCCGCUCGCCCUUCAUCACUCAGCAAUGCUGAAAAACAGAGAGGUAGAAAAGGCUCAUGAUAACGAAGUGUUUGAAGCUAUAAAAAGGGUGUGUGGAUGCUGUGAUGUCAUAUUUUAUAUCUAUUUGUAUAUUUAUUUUGUAUUAUAUCGUAUAUGUAUGUGUUUUAAACUAACCUUUGACUAAUUCUGGCUUUUUAACCAUGUAUAAAUAUGUGUUUUUUUAAAUAUACCAUUCUGAGGAUUGA